AUUCCAUGAUGCGGGUAGUCUGAUAUGUAUCCUUGAAAACACUCCCAUACUUCUAGAAUAGGUUCACCUUUCUGCUGCUGGAAUUCUGAAAUCUUCCCUCAUAAGAUA
rfam:Sorghum bicolor cultivar BTx623 chromosome 3, whole genome shotgun sequence.